UGGCGGCGUGGAUAAGACAUGCAAGUCGAACGAGAGAAUUGCUAGCUUGCUAAUAAUUCUCUAGUGGCGCACGGGUGAGUAACACGUGAGUAACCUGCCCCCGAGAGCGGGAUAGCCCUGGGAAACUGGGAUUAAUACCGCAUAGUAUCGAAAGAUUAAAGCAGCAAUGCGCUUGGGGAUGGGCUCGCGGCCUAUUAGUUAGUUGGUGAGGUAACGGCUCACCAAGGCGAUGACGGGUAGCCGGUCUGAGAGGAUGUCUGGCCACACUGGAACUGAGACACGGUCCAGACACCUACGGGUGGCAGCAGUCGAGAAUCAUUCACAAUGGGGGAAACCCUGAUGGUGCGACGCCGCGUGGGGGAAUGAAGGUCUUCGGAUUGUAAACCCCUGUCAUGUGGGAGCAAAUUAAAAAGAUAGUACCACAAGAGGAAGAGACGGCUAACUCUGUGCCAGCAGCCGCGGUAAUACAGAGGUCUCAAGCGUUGUUCGGAAUCACUGGGCGUAAAGCGUGCGUAGGCUGUUUCGUAAGUCGUGUGUGAAAGGCGCGGGCUCAACCCGCGGACGGCACAUGAUACUGCGAGACUAGAGUAAUGGAGGGGGAACCGGAAUUCACGGUGUAGCA
rnacentral:rRNA from 1 species